rnacentral:misc_RNA from 1 species
AAAAGAAGGCUCACGCGGGGGAAACGCGUGGUGGUGGCGGCGGCGGCGGCCCCGACAGGGGAGCCACCCCGCCGGAAUCAAUGGGCGGACGCCUGUCGCGAUGCCGAGCGUGAUAUGACGCAUCUGCGCUCGAGCGCGGCGAGGCUCCCAGCCCCUGGCCCGUGAGUCUGGGCAGGGAGAGCAAGACACU